CAGCCACAAUGUUUCCUCUGCAUCUACUCCUACUGAUAUCUGGAACACUGGCUAUGAAUUGCUCAGAUUCAGACAAUAGCUUUUAUUUAAACACCACAACUGGGGUGAUUUCAAUGGCAAUAAAGAUUCUACAAGAGAAGAUCACCAUCAGCGAUAAAGCUGAGGAUACUUUGAAAUGCUAUUGGGCGUCCAGUGAAAGCUAUGUUGAUUGCACCUCGAUGAAUGUGACCUCAAUGAACCUAACUGACUGUCGGACGGUGCCGAUUUCUUUGGUCAAUAUCUCAAUCAGAAAGUUAAUCUUCAACAUAUCUUCAUCCACGUGUGAAGUCACCAAUUGUACAGAGACAGCGAUCAAUGCCCUGGUGAGAGAGAUACAAGACCAUUCCAGUGAAGGUCCAAAGGAACUGAGAAGGAUCUUGAACAUACGAAGUAUGUGUGCAGACCUGUUUAAGAACAAUCUGACCAUGAGGAUGAUGUU